GCUGAGACAACCAGGAGGUUGGCUUAGAAGCAGCCAUCCUUGAAAGAGUGCGUAAUAGCUCACUGGUCAAGUGGUCCUGCGCCGACAAUGUAGCGGGGCUGAAGCGCACCGCCGAAGCCAUGCCAAUCCAGAUGUAUGUCUGGGUUGGGUAGGGGAGCGUCCUGCACGCGGUGAAGCCAUGGUGGAAACCGAUGGUGGAGUGUGUGGGAGUGAGAAUGCAGGCAUGAGUAGCGAGUGAAGAGUGAGAAUCUCUUCCGCCGGAUGACCAAGGGUUCCUGGGGAAGGUUCGUCCGCCCAGGGUGAGUCGGGGCCUAAGGCGAGGCCGACAGGCGUAGUCGAUGGAUAACGGGUUGAUAUUCCCGUACCCGUGCAUACGCGUCCAUAACGAAAUCCUUGAUACUAACCAUCCGCUGUUCGUGUGAGUCUUCGGAUGAGCAUGGGGAGUGCAUGGGACCUGAUGGGGCGGUAGUUAAGUGAUGGGGUGACGCAGGAGGGUAGCUCUGCCAGUGAGUGGUUGUACUGGUGUAAGCCUGUAGCCCGGUGUGUAGGCAAAUCCGCACACCAAUAGGGUGAGGGGUGAUGCGUAGCCGUUGUGGUGAUGUGAGUGAUCCCAUGCUGUCGAGAAAAGCCUCUAGCGAGUGUGUGCAUGGCCCGUACCCGAAACCGACACAGGUGGUCAGGUAGAGAAUACCGAGGCGGUCGGGUGAACUGUGGUUAAGGAAUUCGGCAAAUUGCCCCCGUAACUUUGGGAGAAGGGGGGCCACUGCUGGUGAAGGAACGUGCUUCUGGAGCUGGUGGUGGUCGCAGAGGCCAGGGAGAAGCGACUGUUUACUAAAAACACAGGUCCAUGCGAAGCUGUAAGGCGAUGUAUAUGGACUGACGCCUGCCCGGUGCUGGAACGUUAAGAGGACCCGUGAACCCCUUGUGGGGUGUAGCGGAGAAUUUAAGCGCCAGUAAACGGCGGUGGUAACUAUAACCAUCCUAAGGUAGCGAAAUUCCUUGUCGGGUAAGUUCCGACCUGCACGAAUGGCGUAACGACUUCUCCGCUG
rnacentral:rRNA from 1 species